rnacentral:rRNA from 1 species
AACGAACGCUGGCGGCAGGCCUAAUACAUGCAAGUCGAACGGAUGUAGCAAUACAUUAGUGGCGCACGGGUGCCUAACGCGUGGGAACAUACCCUUGAGUAAGGAAUAAUGUCUGGAAACGGACACUAAUACCUUAUAAUGACUUCGGUCCAAAGAUUCAUCGCUCAAGGAUUGGCCCGCGUCUGAUUAGCUAGUUGGUGAGGUAACGGCUCACCAAGGCGACGAUCAGUAGCUGGUCUGAGAGGAUGAUCAGCCACACUGGGACUGAGACACGGCCCAGACUCCUACGGGAGGCAGCAGUAAGGAAUAUUGGACAAUGGGGGAAACCCUGAUCCAGCCAUGCCGAGUGAGUGAAGAAGGCCUUAGGGUUGUAAAGCUCUUUCAAUAGUGAAGAUAAUGACGGUACCCGCAGAAGAAGCCCCGGCUAACUCCGUGCCAGCAGCCGCCGUAA